UGAAUACGAGACGCUAAGGCGUCGAAGUAGUGUAUGUCAUACUUCCAAGAAAAGCUUGCACUGUCAUAGAUAAAAAACGCCUGUACCAUAACCGACACAGGUGGGUAGGUAGAGUAUACUAAGGGGCGCGAGAUAACUCUCUCUAAGGAACUCGGCAAAAUAACUCCGUAACUUCGGGAGAAGGAGUGCCUUAUUAUUAAGGCUGCAAUAACAAGAUCCAAGCAACUGUUUAUCAAAAACACAGGUCUCCGCUAAGUCGUAAGACGAUGUAUGGGGGCUGACGCCUGCCCAGUGCCAGAAGGUUAAAGAAGUUGGUUAGCAUUUGCGAAGCUGAUAACUGAAGCCCUGGUGAACGGCGGCCGUAACAAUAACGGUCCUAAGGUAGCGAAAUUCCUUGUCGGGUAAGUUCCGACCCGCACGAAAGGCGUAAUGAUUUGGAUACUGUCUCGGAGAGGGGCUCGGUGAAAUAGACUUGUCUGUGAAGAUGCGGACUACCUGCACCAGGACAGAAAGACCCUAUGAAGCUUUACUGUAACUUGAAAUUGAAAUUGGACUUUAUUCGCGCAGCAUAGGUGGGAGGCGUUGAUUAUAAUCUUGUGGGAUUAUUGGAGCCAUCAGUGAGAUACCACUCUUGUAAUGUUAGAUUUCUAACUUUGAAUCAUUAUCUGGUCAAAGAACAGUUUCAGGCGGGCAGUUUGACUGGGGCGGUCGCCUCCUAAACGGUAACGGAGGCGUACAAAGGUUUCCUCUGAACGGUUAGAAAUCGUAUCUAGAGUGUAAAGGCAUAAGGAAGCUUGACUGUGAGACCUACAAGUCGAGCAGGGACGAAAGUCGGUCUUAGUGAUCUGACGGUACUGAGUGGAAAGGCCGUCACUCAACGGAUAAAAGUUACUCUAAGGAUAACAGGCUGAUCUCCCCCAAGAGUUCACAUCGACGGGGAGGUUUGGCACCUCGAUGUCGGCUCAUCGCAUCCUGGGGCGGUAGUACGUCCCAAGGGUUGGGCUGUUCGCCCAUGAAAGCGGUACGCGAGCUGGGUUCAGAACGUCGUGAGACAGUUCGGUCCAUAUCCGGUGUAGGCGUUAGAAUAUUGAGAGGAGCCUUCUUUAGUACGAGAGGACCGAGAAGGACAUACCUCUGGUGUACCAGUUAUCGUGCCAACGGUAAACGCUGGGUAGCUAUGUAUGGAGUGGAUAACCGCUGAAAGCAUCUAAGUGGGAAGCCCACCUCAAGAUAAGUAUUCUCA
rnacentral:rRNA from 1 species